GAUGAACGCUGGCGGUAUGCUUAACACAUGCAAGUCGAACGGGGUGCAUAGUCUCCUUGUGGCGGACGGGUGCGUAACGCGGGAGAAUCUGGCCUCAGGUCCGGGACAACCACGGGUAACGGUGGCUAAUACCGGCUGUGCCAUAUUGGGUAAAGAGUAAUUACCUGAGGAUGAGGUCGCGUCGGAUUAGCUAGAUGGUGGGGUGAAGGCUUACCAAGUCGACGAUCAGUAACCGGUCUAAGGGGACGACCAGUCACACUGUGAAUGAGACACGACCCAGGCUCCUUCGAGAGGGAGCAGUAGGGAAAUUUCCGCAAUGGGCGAAAGCCUGACAGAGCAAUGCCGCGUGAGGGAGGAAGGCUCUUGGGUUGUAAACCUCUUUUCUCAGGGAGGAAGAAUGACGUUACCUGAGGAAUCAGCAUCGGCUAACUCCGUG
rnacentral:rRNA from 1 species